CACUGAGCAGGAAGUCAUUAAGGCUUUAGUUUAGUGAGAAGACAGUACUGCAGAAAAUGCAGAUAUUGUGGGAGACGCUCACCAACACCCCAGAAAAACCAGGUGAGAAUGAGUUUUAAAGAGAUUCCAUUGUACAUUGCAGGCUGGGAAAUCGAUUGCUGUAACUGUCACCAGAAAACAUCUGUAGCAUCUAUUGUUUUGUAAAUAUUAUUAUACACAGAGUAUUCUAAAUGCUGCUCUGUAUCCAUGUAUCCAUGGUUAAAGAAAAAAGCUCAUAUAAAGAUUCAUUUUAUUGUUUGUUUUAACCAUUGUAUUACAGUGUGGGAUUCAGAUAUGAAAGCGAAAUUUUAUUCUAUUUUAUUGGUUGUAUUCUAUCAUUUAUGGAUUGGUUGUGUCUGUAGAAAGGAAAUAUAUUCAAUUAAAUUCUCUUUUAUUCACACAUUAACAUGUAUUUUAUAUAUAUAUAUUGUGUAUUGUAAGUGGCUUUACAUUUGCUUGAUCAAGAUAUACAGUAAUUAAUAUUUUUAUUCUUCAUUGAACUGUUGUUUUUUAUGUUUAUAGUGAUGUAUUGUAGUGGUGUAUAUAUGUGAAAUACACAAUAUGCAUGGAAUGGCUAUAUAUGUGCGUAUAUAUUAUAGGCGAAAACUUAGUUGGUAUUGUUACACUUAACAUAUAGUAUUGAUUUAGAAAAGAAAAACACGAAUAUAUAUAAUAUAGUUAUUAAGUGGUUUUAAAAAUGUAUCGAGAAAUGAAUCCAGGAUGUGUAUUCUCUAUCCAUGGGGGAAAGGAGAUAGUUAAAUAGAGAUCACUUGUCAGUUGAUAUUCACUGCUAGUAGAAAGCAGGGAGAUUUAUAUUUGAAUGCUUUCUUCCUCUGUUUUAUAUUAUGAUUUAUAAAGAGUUGAGUUGUGUGUGUUGUGUGUGAGUCUGUGUGUGCGAUUGUGUGUGUCUGUGGCUCCUUGGCUUAUGCUUACAGGAUCUGCCAAUAUGUGUUUGAUUGUGAGAGAGAGAGAGUCUGUGUGCGUGUGUGUGUGUGUGUGUGUGUGUGUGUGAAUCUGUGUGUGUGAAUCUGUGUGUGUGUGUGUGUGUGUGUGUGUGUGAAUCUGUGUGUGUGAAUCUUUGUGUGUGUGUGUGUGUGUGAAUCUGUGUGUGUGUGUGUGUGAAUCUGUGUGUGUGUGAAUCUUUGUGUGUGUGUGUGUGUGUAUGUGUGUGAAUCUGUGUGUGUGAAUCUUUGUGUGUGUGUGUGUGAAUCUGUGUGUGUGAUAGUGUCUGUAACUCCCUUUAUUUUGCCUGCAGGUUCUGCCUGUAUGUGUGUCUGAUUUAAGAAUGAACUAUUUAAGCUGAGAUCUUGGUACAGUCUCCCCCAUUCUCUGUUGUGGGCACUGAAGAUCUAGGCAGCAAUUUGUUGCAUCUAAUGUUUGACUGACCCUUUAGUAUUUUGGCACUAUGCUAUAGAUGCUCGUUAGGAUUGUGAGGUCUGCUACCCUAAUCAACGCUAAAUGGUGAUCGAUUUUUAUUUUUAUUAAAAUAUUUCCAUGUGACAGUAUGUCUGGUGCUGUGUACAACCUAUUUUUAAGUGAUGGAAAACAAGUGGUUUGGGACAUCCUUAUUGGUCCAAUGCCAGUACAGACACCUCUAAUACGUUUCUAUAGCAUUUCAUCUUCUUAUUAUUGGGAGUUGGUUUUACAUCUAUGUUUUUGUUUCAUGGUCUCUAUAAUCCCUGCGGUAAGAUUAGAGGCUGGGUGUUUCAUGGUCUCUAUUCCUGUUGUAAAAUUAGAGGCUGGGUGUCUGGUGGUUUCUAUAAUCCUUACCGUUAGAUUAGAUUAUUUUGGUUUGAUUGGAAGUAAAACUCUUGCACUGAGAUUAGAGGAUGCUACUUUUGGUAAAAUCUGUAAUUCCUGCAGUAAAAUGAUAGAUUUGGCGUUGUAUGGUCUCUAUAAUUCUUACAGUAGGUUAGAGACUCUAUAUUUGAUGUUUUCUUUAAUUCCUUCAGUGAGAUUAGAGGAUCGGGGUUUAAUAAUUUCUGUAACACUUGCAGUGAGAUUAGAGGGUUUAAUAAUUUCUGUGAGAUUAGAGGGUUUAAUAAUUUCUGUAACACUUGCAGUGAGAUUAGAGGAUGGGGGUUUCAUAAUUUCUGUAAUUCUUGCAGUGAGAUUAGAGACUGGGGGUUUCAUAAUUUAUGUAAUUCUUGCAGUAAGAUUAGAGACUGGGGAUUUAAUAAUUUCUGUAAUUCUUGCAGUGAGAUUAGAGGAUGGUAUAAUAAUUUCUGUAAUUCUUGCAGUUAGACUAGAGGCUGUGGGUUUAAUAAUUUCUGUAACACUUGCAGUAUAAUUAGAGGCUGCAUGUUUCAUGGCCUCCAAAAUUCUUGCAGUAUAAUUAGAGGCACGUUUCAUGGUCUCCUUAAGUCUUGCAGUAUAAUUAGAGGCUGCAUGUUUCAUGGCCUCCAUAAGUCUUGCAGUAUAAUUAGAGGCACGUUUCAUGGUCUCCAUAAAUCUUGCAGUAUAAUUAGAGGCUGCAUGUUUCAUUGUCUCCAUAAGUCUUGAGUUAAUUAGAGGCACGUUUCAUGGUCUCCAUAAGUCUUGCAGUAUAAUUAGAGGCACGUUUCAUGGUCACCAUAAGUCUUGCAGUAUAAUUAGAGGCUGCAUGUUUCAUGGCCUCCAUAAGUCUUGCAGUAUAAUUAGAGGCUGCAUGUUUCAUGGUCUCCAUAAGUCUUGCAGUAUAAGUAGAGGCUGCAUGUUUCAUGGUCUCCAUAAGUCUUGCAGUAUAAUUAGAGGCUGCAUGUUUCAUGGUCUCCAUAAGUCUUGUAGUUUAAUUAGAGGCUGCAUGUUUCAUGGCCUCCAUAAAUCUUGCAGUAUAAUUAGAGGCUGCAUGUUUCAUGGUCUCCAUAAGUCUUGCAGUAUAAUUAGAGGCUGCAUGUUUCAUGGUCUCCAUAAGUCUUGUAGUUUAAUUAGAGGCUGCAUGUUUCAUGGUCUUCAUAAAUCUUGCAGUAUAAUUAGAGGCUGGGUAUUUAUAGUCUCUCCACUUUGAACAUGGUCUCCAUAAGUCUUGUAGUUUAAUUAGAGGCUGCAUGUUUCAUGGCUUGCAAUAAUUUGAUAGAUGAUUCUUUAACACACUAUAAUAGUGUUUCAGACAUCCCAUAAUUGUUUCAUUAUUGCUAUACUUAUAGAGGCUAGCCUCCAGAAGAUUUUAAUUGUUACUAUGUGUGGGGCAGAAACUGUUGCUUUUUAUUCAAUACCAGGUUCUCCAUAUUGCUUUCUAUAAUAUUUAGUCCUCUCUAAAUGUUUUCUGUAUAAAUGAAGACUAUAUAUUAUUAUUUAUCAUCUGUGUAUGGCGGUGUUCUCUAUAAGAUUAGAGGCUGUGUAUGGCGGUAUUCGCUGUAAGAUUAGAGGCUGUGUAUGGCGGUGUUCUCUAUAAGAUUAGAGGCUGUGUCCUGGCCUGGUGUUCUCUAUAAGAUUAGAGGCUGUGUACGGCGGUGUUUUCUAUAAGAUUAGAUGCUGUGUAUGGCGGUGUUCUCUAUAAGAUUAGAGGCUGUGUAUGGCGGUGUUCUCUGUAAGAUUAGAGGCUGUGUAUGGCGGUGUUCUCUAUAAGAUUAGAGUCUGUGUCCUGGCAUGGUGUUCUCUAUAAAAUUAGAGGCUGUGUAUGGCAGUGUUCUCUAUAAGAUUAGAGGCUGUGUCCCGGCAUGGUGUUCUCUAUAAAAUUAGAGGCUGUGUACGGCAGUGUUCUCUAUAAAAUUAGAGGGUGUGUACGGCGGUCUUCUCUUUAAGAUUAGAGACUGUGUACGGCGGUGUUCUCUAUAACAUUAGAGGCUGUGUAUGGCGGUGUUCUCUAUAAGAUUAGAGACUGUGUACGGUGGAGUUCUCUAUAAGAUUAGAGGCUGUGUCCUGGCCUGGUGUUCUCUGUAAGAUUAGAGGCUGUGUAUGGCGGUGUUCUCUAUAAGAUUAGAGGCUGUGUCCUGGCCUGGUGUUCUCUGUAAGAUUAGAGGCUGUGUAUGGUGGUGUUCUCUAUAAGAUUAGAGGCUGUGUAUGGCGGUGUUCUCUAUAAGAUUAGAGACUGUGUACGGCGGUGUUCUCUGUAACAUUAGAGGCUGUGUAUGGCGGUGUUCUCUAUAAGAUUAGAGACUGUGUACGGUGGAGUUCUCUAUAAGAUUAGAGGCUGUGUCCUGGCCUGGUGUUCUCUGUAAGAUUAGAGGCUGUGUAUGGCGGUGUUCUCUAUAAGAUUAGAGGCUGUGUCCUGGCCUGGUGUUCUCUGUAAGAUUAGAGGCUGUGUAUGGUGGUGUUCUCUAUAAGAUUAGAGGCUGUGUAUGGCGGUGUUCUCUAUAAGAUUAGAGGCUGUGUAUGGCGGUGUUCUCUAUAAAAUUAGAGGCUAUGUAUGGCAGUGUUCUCUAUAAGAUUAGAGUCUGUGUCCUGGCAUGGUGUUCUCUAUAAAAUUAGAGGCUGUGUAUGGCAGUGUUCUCUAUAAGAUUAGAGGCUGUGUCCCGGCCUGGUGUUCUCUAUAAGAUUAGAGGUUGUGUAUGGUGGUGUUCUCUAUAAGAUUAGAGGCUGUGUCCUGGCCUGGUGUUCUCUAUAAGAUUAGAGGCUGUGUCCCGGCCUGGUGUUCUCUAUAAAAUUAGAGGCUGUGUCCCUGCCUGGUGUUCUCUAUAAGAUUAGAGGCUGUGUCCCGGCCUGGUGUUCUCUAUAAGAUUAGAGGCUGUGUAUGGCGGUGUUCUCUAUAAGAUUAGAGGCUGUGUAUGGUGGUGUUCUCUAUAAGAUUAGAGGCUGUGCAUGGCGGUGUUCUCUAUAAGAUUAGAGGCUCUGUAUGGCAGUGUUCUCUAUAAGAGUAGAGGCUGUGUCCUGGCCUGGUGUUCUCUGUAAGAUUAGAGGCUGUGUCCCGGCUUGGUGUUCUCUAUAAGAUUAGAGGCUGUGUAUGGCGGUGUUCUCUAUAAGAUUAGAGGCUCUGUAUGGCAGUGUUCUCUAUAAGAUUAGAGGCUGUGUAUGGCGGUGUUCUCUAUAAGAUUAGAGGCUGUGUAUGGCGGUGUUCUCUAUAAGAUUAGAGGCUGUGUAUGGCGGUGUUCUCUAUAAGAGUAGAGGCUGUGUAUGGCAGUGUUCUCUAUAAGAGUAGAGGCUGUGUAUGGCGGUGUUCUCUAUAAGAUUAGAGGAUGUGUCCCGGCCUGGUGUUCUCUGUAAGAUUAGAGGCUGUGUAUGGCGGUGUUCUCUAUAAGAUUAGAGGCUGUGUAUGGCGGUGUUCUCUAUAAGAUUAGAGGCUGUGUCCUGGCGUGGUGUUCUCUGUAAGAUUAGAGGCUGUGUAUGGCGGUGUUCUCUAUAAGAUUAGAGGCUGUGUAUGGUGGUGUUCUCUAUAAGAUUAGAGGCUGUGUAUGGUGGUGUUCUCUAUAAGAUUAGAGGCUGUGCAUGGCGGUGUUCUCUAUAAGAUUAGGGACUGUGUAUGGUGGUGUUCUCUGUAAGAUUAGAGGCUGUGUAUGGCGGUGUUCUCUAUAAGAUUAGAGGCUGUGUAUGGUGGUGUUCUCUAUAAGAUUAGAGGCUGUGUAUGGUGGUGUUCUCUAUAAGAUUAGAGGCUGUGCAUGGCGGUGUUCUCUAUAAGAUUAGGGACUGUGUAUGGUGGUGUUCUCUGUAAGAUUAGAGGCUGUGUAUGGCGGUGUUCUCUAUAAGAUUAGAGGCUGUGUAUGGCGGUGUUCUCUAUAAGAUUAGAGGAUGUGUAUGGCAGUGUUCUCUAUAAGAUUAGAGGCUGUGUAUGGUGGUGUUCUCUAUAAGAUUAGAGGCUGUGUCCUGGCCUGGUGUUCUCUGUAAGAUUAGAUGCUGUGUAUGGCGGUGUUCUCUAUAAGAUUAGAGGCUGUGUAUGGUGGUGUUCUCUAUAAGAUUAGAGGCUGUGUAUGGCGGUGUUCUCUAUAAGAUUAGAGGCUGUGUAUGGCGGUGUUCUCUAUAAGAUUAGAGGCUGUGUCCUGGCCUGGUGUUCUCUGUAAGAUUAGAGGCUGUGUAUGGCGGUGUUCUCUAUAAGAUUAGAGGCUGUGUAUGGUGGUGUUCUCUAUAAGAUUAGAGGCUGUGUAUGGUGGUGUUCUCUAUAAGAUUAGAGGCUGUGCAUGGCGGUGUUCUCUAUAAGAUUAGGGACUGUGUAUGGUGGUGUUCUCUGUAAGAUUAGAGGCUGUGUAUGGCGGUGUUCUCUAUAAGAUUAGAGGCUGUGUAUGGCGGUGUUCUCUAUAAGAUUAGAGGAUGUGUAUGGCAGUGUUCUCUAUAAGAUUAGAGGCUGUGUAUGGUGGUGUUCUCUAUAAGAUUAGAGGCUGUGUCCUGGCCUGGUGUUCUCUGUAAGAUUAGAUGCUGUGUAUGGCGGUGUUCUCUAUAAGAUUAGAGGCUGUGUAUGGUGGUGUUCUCUAUAAGAUUAGAGACUGUGUACGGCGGUGUUCUCUAUAAGAUUAGAGGCUCUGUAUGGCAGUGUUCUCUAUAAGAUUAGAGGCUGUGUAUGGCGGUGUUCUCUAUAAAAUUAGAUGCUGUGUAUGGCGGUGUUCUCUAUAAGAUUAGAGUCUGUGUCCUGGCAUGGUGUUCUCUAUAAGAUUAGAGACUGUGCAUGGCGGUGUUCUCUAUAAGAUUAGAGGCUGUGUCCCGGCCUGGUGUUCUCUAUAAGAUUAGAGGCUGUGUACGGCGGUGUUCUCUAUAAGAUUAGAGGCUCUGUAUGGCAGUGUUCUCUAUAAGAUUAGAGGCUGUGUAUGGCGGUGUUCUCUAUAAAAUUAGAUGCUGUGUAUGGCGGUGUUCUCUAUAAGAUUAGAGUCUGUGUCCUGGCAUGGUGUUCUCUAUAAGAUUAGAGACUGUGCAUGGCGGUGUUCUCUAUAAGAUUAGAGGCUGUGUCCCGGCCUGGUGUUCUCUAUAAGAUUAGAGGCUGUGUACGGCGGUGUUCUCUAUAAGAUUAGAGGCUCUGUAUGGCAGUGUUCUCUAUAAGAUUAGAGGCUGUGUAUGGCGGUGUUCUCUAUAAAAUUAGAUGCUGUGUAUGGCGGUGUUCUCUAUAAGAUUAGAGUCUGUGUCCUGGCAUGGUGUUCUCUAUAAGAUUAGAGACUGUGCAUGGCGGUGUUCUCUAUAAGAUUAGAGUCUGUGUCCUGGCAUGGUGUUCUCUAUAAGAUUAGAGGCUGUGUAUGGUGGUGUUCUCUAUAAGAUUAGAGGCUGUGUCCCGGCCUGGUGUUCUCUAUAAGAUUAGAGGCUGUGUAUGGUGGUGUUCUCUAUAAGAUUAGAGGCUGUGUUCUGGCCUUGUGUUCUCUAUAAGUUUAGAGGCUGUGUCCCGGCCUGGUGUUCUCUAUAAGAUUAGAGGCUGUGUCCCGGCCUGAUGUUCUCUAUAAGAUUAGAGGCUGUGUCCCGGCCUGGUGUUCUUUAUAAGAUUAGAGGCUGUGUCCCGGCCUGGUGUUCUCUAUAAGAUUAGAGGCUGUGUCCCGGCCUGGUGUUCUCUAUAAGAUUAGAGGCUGUGUGCCGGCCUGGUGUUCUUUAUAGAAUUAGAGGCUGUGUCCCGGCCUGGUGUUCUCUAUAAGAUUAGAGGCUGUGUCCUCUAUAAAAUUAGAGGCUGCGGUGUUCUCUAUAAGAUGUUGUGUCCUGGCAUGGUGUUCUCUAUAAGAUUAGAGACUGUGUAUGGCGGUGUUCUCUACAAGAUUAGAGGCUGUGUCCCGGCCUGGUGUUCUCUGUAUAGAAUUAGAGGCUGUGUCCCGGCCUGGUGAUUCUCUAUAAGAUUAGAGGCUGUGUAUGGUGGUGUUCUCUAUAAGAUUAGAGGCUGCGUCCUGGCCUGGUGUUCUCUAUAAGAUUAGAGGCUGUGUAUGGCGGUGUUCUCUAUAAGAUUAGAGGCAGUGUCUGGUUCUCUAUAAGUUCUCUGUUCUCUAUAAGAUUAGAGGCUGUGUCCCGGCCUGGUGUUCUCUAUAAGAUUAGAGGCUGUGUCUCCUGCGUCCUCCUGGUGUUCUCUAUAAGAUUAGAGGCUGUGUCCCGGCUUGGUGUUCUCUAUAAGAUUAGAGACUGUGUACCGGCCUGGUGUUCUCUAUAAGAUUAGAGGCUGUGUAUGGUGAUGUUCUCUAUAAGAUUAGAGACUGUGUAUGGCGGUGUUCUCUACAAGAUUAGAGGCUGUGUCCCGGCCUGGUGUUCUCUACAAGAUUAGAGGCUGUGUAUGGUGGUGUUCUCUAUAAGAUUAGAGACUGUGUCCGGCCUGGUGUUCUCUAUAAGAUUAGAGGCUGUGUAUGGUGGUGUUCUCUAUAAGAUUAGAGGCUGUGUCCCGGCUUGGUGUUCUCUAUAAGAUUAGAGGCUGUGUCCCGGCCUGGUGUUCUCUAUAAGAUUAGAGGCUGUGUAUGGUGGUGUUCUCUAUAAGAUUAGAGGCUUUGUCCCGGCUUGGUGUUCUCUAUAAGAUUAGAGGCUGUGUCCCGGCCUGGUGUUCUCUAUAAGAUUAGAGGCUGUGUCCCGGCCUGGUGUUCUCUAUAAGAUUAGAGGCUGUGUCCCGGCCUCUCUCACUCACUGCAAUGGUUUGGAAGAGGUUUCCGUAGCCCUGUGCUGUCAGUCUAACUUCCCAAGUGUAACAGAUGCGGUUCUCAAGCAGUUCUUUCUGCUGAUUUCUUUUAUUCAGUCUCACAUAUUUCUCCCCAUGAUCUGUGUUUCCAUAGAGAGAGGGAUAAAGAGGGGACCAUGGCCACAAAUCUCCUGCUCUGUUGAGAAUAAAAGAAGCCUUUUUCAAUAGCUGACCUCGUCUGGACAUGGAGAAAGAGCUGGGAGCUGAGAUACUGUUACAAGAAUCGCACAGAUUCUCUCAAAUCACUACAUUCAGAUAUUCAUUUAAAUCUUUACUUUCACAAUGAGAAAUAUUAGCAUCUUUUUCUUUCUGGGCAAUAACCAUAACUGUGGAACAAACACACCACCUGGUAAUUAUCUGGGGGCUGGGAGCCCCUAUUAUAAGAAAGUGCAAUUUCCACCUUUAGAAUUAUUAAUGGACAGAUGGUUAUAUUUUAGUCAAUAAAAUCUAAAGAAAUAAAAAAAAUGGGGGGCACAAAAAUGCUCAAAAAUGUAUUUAGAAAAAAUUAAGUUACAAUUAAGACUUCCCUUCCCUAUAAACUUAUAGGUCUUUCUUAUACACACACCUAAGUUCAUUAUAGAAAUGUACAUAAUGAAUUACCUACUAUUUAUAUAUAGGAAAGGAAUGUUUUAAUUACUUUAUUGUUUCUAAAUAAAUGAUUGAGCAUUCUGUGCCAAUUUUUUUAAAUUUCUUUAUAUUUUAUGCAUUCAAGAUUAAGCAUCUGUCAAAUAAUAAAAAAAACAAGUAAAAAAUUAAAUUAAAUAAUAUAUAUAUAGAUAUAUAUAUAUAUAUAGAGAGAGAGAGAGAGAGAGAGAGAGAGAGAGAGAGAGAGAGAGAGAGAGAGAGAGAGAGAGAGAGAGAGAGAGAGAGAUAGGGAGGGAGUUUAAAAGUUGCAAACUAUUAUAUUCUUAAAUUAUUUACUAUUAUGUGUGUAUGUGUCUUUGUGUCAGGUACAUGUGUGUCUGAUGUCUGUGUAUGUUCAUAUGUGCUGCUGUUUGUGUUUACUGUCUGUGCCUGAUGCCUGCAUGUGUGAGUGUGUAUGUAGAUGUGGCUGUACCUUGUCUGUCUGUGUGUGUGUGUGGGUGUGUGUGUGUGAGCCUAAGACUUUGCACAGAGAGAGGCUGGGGCUGAUUGUGUGCAAUUGUUAAAUACAGCAUGGGACUGGGAGCACAGAACCUGUCACUCCUGGCAUUCAGUGUCCUGACAUCUAUAGAAGGACCUUCACCUCCAGCACAAGUUCACUUGGAAGCAAGACACAAGGGGUUGGGUUUGGUGGGAACAAGUGCAGGAGCAGCACAAUACAAAAUAGCCUGUGAACUGUGAAGCCAGCUUGCAGGUUUACCCCUGAUACAAUGAGCUGGGGAGACUGCAGUUAUUGGGGUGGAACAGCUGCUGUCAGCAGGCAGGGCUGAAAAUGAUCACAGAUUUCAUCCCUGGACCCACUGUCUGAGCAUCAAAGGCAUUUAUUAUUGUAUGUAUGUUCCUAUUGUUGUUAUCAUUAUCACCUAUUAUAGAGGGUUCCCCUUCUAGAACACUCAGACAGGUUCAACUUACAGACCAAGUCACCCUGAGCAGGCAGCACCAAGAUUUAAUCAGGGACCCCUCUAAUUAAAGGAUAAACUGGCUUGGUGGCUGAGACUCUUAGAAUAAGGGGCAAUUUAUUCUAAACCACACACAAAAAGAAACAGGUUAUCAGUUCUCUGUAUUCCAAUGCAUAACAAAUUCAGAACGAGAUGUUUUGUUUUUUUUGUUUUUUUUUAAAGAUAAAUUCGAUUAGAUUAUUUUGGUGUAAAGUAAAAUAUUGAAAAGGUGUACUUUUUAUGUUAAAAAAAAGUUUUACAAAUGCAAAACAUUAUGCAUAUUCAAUAUUAAUAAAUACAGUAUUCACUUCAAAAUUGCAUCUCACUAUUCCUGUACAAAGUUGAAAACAUUACAUAUAUAUUUAAAAAAAUAAAAUAAAUAACGAAUUCUUACAAUUUAAGGCUGCUUGGUGUAAAUUGUCCCAUUAAAUGUAAAUAAUAAAAUAUCUCUGAAAUAAUAAAAACCUUAUAAAUACCCAAGUGAUUUUCAACUCAGAAUGUCCAUUGUUGCAUGGUACAAAUAAAAUGUGUUAGCGAAAACUUUUUGUACCGACUAAGAAAACAAAACAAAAAAACAAUCAAAAACAAACAUACCAAUAACAAAUAAUAUUUACCUAGUUACGAAACAAACCCAAACUACAAUUGUCUGUGUAAUCGGUAGUAAUGCAUUUCUAAAGUGCUCCCCCUUCUCUGUGUCUCUAAAUAUCUAAUAAACCUCCUUUUUAUUAACACUAUAGCUAUCAAAUUUAACUUGAACCAACUUACUUUAUUAUUUAUAUUUAAACUUUCUCCCCUCUCAACAAGACUCAAAAAAUUCAGGAAUUUUAAUAUCUGAAAUCUACUAAAAAAAUGCAUCUUUUAUUAAGCUAUAUUUGUUGUUCAAUAAUAGAUAGAAUGUAACUUGUUGUUAGACAGACGUUCUAACCUAUUAAAUGUCGUACGUCUCUAGAUGAAUAAGAGGAUCUGAUGAGUCUAAUUGAGGUGAAGCUCUCCCUGUGUGUGGCGAAAAGUCCUUUUAAACGUUUAACCCUUUUUUAAAUCAUGAUAGCUGUGAAAACUUUAUCCGUGCACAAUUUCUUGUCCAAAACUUUUUCUAAAUAGCGAUUUCAAUCCAGUUCUACAAAAUGUAGAUGAAUUUAAAAAGAAAUUAAGAAAAAUGAACGCUAAUAUGUUGCCCAAGUAACUGGUAAAAUACAUUUUAAUAUUAAUUUAAUAAUAACUUAACAAUUAAGGUAUUGAUACAAAAUGUUCCUUAUUAUAUGCAAAAAAAAAAAAAAUAGUGAGUUUGUUGUAUUUAAAAGAAAGAGCUAUACAUUGUUUUGCCAUUUGUUAAUAUUUCAAUAAUAUUUCGAUUAAUUAGAUCUGAUAUUUGAUUUAAAUUCUAGUAUCUUAUAUCUGAUGAAUACAGAUAACAAUAUGUAGAAAUAAAUGGCGAUUUUUAACUUUCAGUUGAUUAACUUGAUUUGUAAUCUCAAUUGAAUGAAAAUGAAAAGUAAUAUAUAUUAAGAAGAAAAUAUGCGUUUUGAAACAAAAUGUAAUUGUUAUAUUUUCUGUUCAAAUUUCAAUGUACAUAAACAAAUAAACUGAAAUACUCAGGGUGAAUUGGUGGCACUAAAUAUUGUCCCUAAGCAAUGCUUAUUCAAAAAUUACUGUAGAAUACCACUAAUCCUUAAUAAUUCGUAAUCACCCAAUACACAGAGAUAUUAAUGAACGUGUAUAUUCAAUAAUCUCGUUAUAUACAGAGUUACCACAGAACUGCAUAUUCAGUAAUUACUGUAGAAUAUAAAUAUACCACUAAACCUGUAUAAUUCAUAAUUACACAAUAUGCAGAGAUAUCAUGCAAUAUACAUAACAGUCAGGGAACCUGUAUAAUCUAUGAUCACACAGUAUACAGAGAUACCACUAAACCUGUAUAAUCUAUAAUCACACAGUAUACAGAGCUACCACUAAACCUGUAUAAUAUAUAAUCACACAGUAUGUAAAUGUAGGUGUAUGUAAAUGUUCUGAGUUAUUCCAGUAACCAGGAAAUGGCAUGAAUUAAUGAGGAAUUUGAAAUCUGAGGACAAAAAAAUGCCAAAUUAGAAAUAUUAUGCAAACCAUCUGGUUUCCCAGUUUAGUUUCUUCAAUCUAAAACUUGACAUCUUCUGGUUAAUUCUGGAUAAUUACUGUUAUAGUGAAUAACCUGGUUUGGAUUUGUUUGCUAGAUCCAUGUUUUGCUGCUUCUUCAAAUUAAUGGGCAUCACAUGUAAAGUGCUGCCCUGCAUUCUCUAGCAUUUCAAUUCUACAUUCUACAGGGCAAAACGUUUUGUGCACUGCCCAUCAGUAUGUAGAUAUUAUAUGUGUCCAGGAAUAUGUGGUAUAUCGGGGAACCCUAUCUGUGGCAGCUCCCAAUGUCUCAGACCCAGGCUAAGGUAUGAUUCUGACUCAGAUUGCUCAAUUCUGACACGAAAUUUCAGUUCUGGCAUUAACUAAUAACAGCGAGGGGUAAACAAGAAACCCAAGUGUCCAAUUAAAAUUUAGAGCAAUUCAGUCUCUUCUACACACCACAGACAAACCUACACACCAUAGACACACCUACACACCAUAGACAAACACUGUACACACCAUAGACAAACCUGCACACCAUAGACCAGGGGUAGGCAACCUUCUGCACUCCAGAUGUUGUGGACUACAUCUCCACAAUGCUCUUACACCCAUAAUGCUGGCAAAGUAUCAUGGGAGUUGUAGUUCAAAACAUCUGCAGUGCCGAAAGUUGCCUAUGCCUGCCAUAGACGAACCUACACACUAUAGACAAACCUACACACUGUAGACAAACCUACACACCAUAGAGCUGCUGUAUGUCCACAUAGCUAUGUGGAAAGUUAAUUUGAGCAGUUCUAAAAAAAAAAUCUACACAUGAUUAAAAAAAGAAAAUUAAAGGGACACUAUAGUCCUAUAUUCCUAUAUACACUAUAUACACUGUUUUCCUCCCUUGCAACUAUCAUUAGUCUAAUACUAUCCUUACCUUUUUGUGUCAUUUUACCCCACUCCCUCUAGCAUGUAAGCUAAUUGAGCAGGGCCCUCAACCUCUUUGUUCCUGUGUGUCCAACUUGUCUGGUUACAACUAAAUGUUUGUUCGUCCACCCACUGUAAAGCACUGCGGAAUUUGUUGGCGCUAUAUAAAUAAUAACAUAAUAAUAAUAAUAAUAGUCACCAGAACAACUACAGCAUAAUGUCAUUGUUCUGGUGAGUAUAGUCAGUUCAUGCAGGCUUUUUUUUUUAAUAUAAACACUGCAUUUUAAGAGAAAAACAAGUGUUUACCUUGUUGCCAGUGGCAGUCUCUCAGUUGGCCACUAGUGGUGCUUUCUGGGGCCGUGUCUCACAGUGUACCGGACUGAUGUUCAGUGAUGCACUGAUGAGGAAAUGCUAAUUGGUGCAGUGCAGCAUUUUGCCGCGCAUGUGCAAUAGCCUCCCAAUGCUUUACUAUGGGAGACAGGCAGGGCCAACUGAAGUGAGACCUGCGUAACAUGGGUAAAAAGAUGAGUUUAAGCAUCUUUUUACUGCGAUCUAGGGGAAGCUGGGGAGCUAAACAGUUAUUAUAAUACUCUGUGUCAGGAAUACGUUUGAGUUUCUGACACUAUAAUGUUCCUCUAAGUUUCAUAAAACGUAAUAAACUUUUUUUAAAAAAAUUUGAUGUAAGUUGUCUUUUAAUUAAUCUUUUUUCACAUAUUGCGAUUUACUAUGUGUAUAUUUGUUCAAACAUUAUAUAUACUGUAUAUUUUUUGAGAAUAACAUUCAAUACCUCCUUCUAAAAUAAGAAAUCUACUAGAUUUGUGCAUGGUGGAAAAAUUUGGUUUGAUUGAAUCGAUUCGACCAAAACUUUAAUUUGACUUUGAUGAUUGAAUUUGGUGGCAUUUCUGCUAUUCUGAAUUUCGGCCAUGCAACCAAUUGGAGGAAAAAGAUUUGGGUGAAACAAAAAGGCGUGAAAAUGAGCUUAUCCCUAUACUGCAAAAUAUAUAAAUAUAAAAUUAAAAUUUCUAUAUAUAUAUAUUUUGUAGUAUACAGAGAGGAUAAUUUUUUUACCUGUUUGAUGAAGCUGAUUCUGGCUGGAAUUUGGUUGACCAAAUAAAAUAUUUCGACAAUAUUUUACCUUUCAAAUUUGGUCCACAUUCUGUCAAUAUUUGUGAUUUUGAGCAUUUGGUUACUUUUAAGCAUUUGUUUGAGUAUUUUAAGCGUUGGGUCUGGAUGGUCACUGGUUUAUUUCUUUAUUAUUUCUUUAUUUAUUUUAUAUAAUGGCUGUUCCCUAACCAUCAAUUAUUUCUUUUUUGACAUUAUGGCCAGAACUCAUGAAUCAAAGGAAAUUGUUUAUCCAUUGUCUGUUGUUACAAACUAUUGGUUACUGUUAUUGGAUCGCUACAACUCAGAAGCGAAUGUUAUUCAUUGUUGCAUUUCACCCAGAGUUUGACUACAGUACAGGGAUUUGGUACCUAACUCCCGAACUACGGAUCUGCUGUCUAUUCGUUAUACGAACGGCAGACCACCAGGAUCUUGGCAUGUGCCGCCACUUAACCCCGGUCACCCCUGGAACAACCGAACGGCCGACCACCCUACGAGCAGAGUGUGUCUCCACUUAAUCGCCCAGAGAGUUGCGGUCUGCAGUUAACCGCAACCUAAUUGACGGCAGCAGGGCAUUCACGUUCGUGCCCCAUCACCCGAUACUCUAACUACCUAACGGGUACCGAACAAGGGCCACCUACAGCCUGGCGUGUGGCUCCAAUUAGAAUGUUGGUUUCUGUGGUUAACCGCAGGUUAAGUGCCCCCUCCCAGUGGUCUUCAUUCGCCUCCCGAACAACGGAGACAUCCAGCGACGGAGCGGGGAUUCGUGCAGACUUCUAGCCGGUUCCUGUUCCACAAGUUUGAGAGUGAAGUCCCGCGGCCUAUUAGUCUACCUCAAAACAUGGCCACCAUCCCACGCUCAGAACCCAAAGACACGAAAAGACUUUGUUUCGAGGAAAUGAAGCGUACCAUUCGUGGAUUCUGAGCGCUCUUCGGUUAAUUGUUUCGCCUCAACCGGGGCUAUGUAAUGAAUGGUGGAAGAAACGAAUUAUGGAUAAAACUGUUAUGUAUUUUUAUUCUGCUUUCUAUGUGGCAAAAACACGUGGGUUUUUUGGGCGCUUGGAGAUAAUUGUAUUGUCAUAACCGUUGGAUUCAUUAUCUCCAAGCUGGGCGGUGACGAUUUCAAACGAUGCUUUGCAUUUCUAUUGGUCCCCCACUUGUAUUGUCCCUGUAUCCCAUCAGGUCCAGAGGGGGCUGUCCCUGGACCUGAGAUUUUGCAUAAAUAUGGUCCCCUGUGUGUCAUUAAAACCAGUUCUUGCUUGACCUUCAAAUCGCAUCCUCGACUCGUUUUGUGGGGAAAAGGGUAUCCUAGCUGUAUGAUAGCUAGUGGGAUUGCUCUACAUUUACAGGAUUCGUAUGGAAUAACUACCGAAGUGACUCUCCGCCUUCUCUGCCUUUGGGAUCCAGACCAUCCAAGUGGUCCAGCUUCCAGCUAGCCUGGGGGUAACCGUAACAUCUCUGUCAUUUGUUUUGUUAUACGGUUUGGAGUUACAGAAUUUGAAUGACCCGCCAAUCGGCUAAAAUUUGAAUUUGAUGAAAUGCAAUAUGUUUGAAACUGAAUGCGCAAGUACCUACCAUACACAGUUUAUCACAUGUCAACACUCCCAUUAGUGAAUAUAGAUGUGUAAGUACUAAUGUUUGUGAAUGUGUAAACUGUGUGUGAAUGUCUACGAGUGUGUAAAUAUAUAUAUAUACCGAUGUGCAUUUGCACACAUGAGCGUUGUUGGUGGAGGGCUUUAGAGGCUGCAAUUUAGAUGUGGGAUUGAUAAUAUGGAUUACCACAAGGGUCAUAUUUUUCCUCUACUUUGUUAAAGUUGUCUAGAAUCCCUCAUGGUAACACCUAUUCUUCAUUUACUUCCUGCUAACAACACUGUUGAUUCUAGACACGUGACCAUAAUACAUUGGGGAAAUGAAGCACUUCUCUGCAGAUUUGUAGCAUUUAAAAACCCCAGGGCAUCCCCCACCUUAGUCGUUAUAUGCUAGCUAUUGCAGUAAAUAUUGUGACACAGUAAAUGGGGCUUUGGGCUAAAGACCCAGAUUUUUUUGGAGUCUAACACCGGUUCAUACACGUAAAAACAUACAAAUAUGAAUGCCUUUGUACAUGUUCAUGGUUUCAAUGUAUCUUAUAGUUAAGAUAUAUUCACAGAUGGGUAGACUAGACCUGGGCCUUGGGUGGAAAGAUAUGGGAAGGGGAGGGAAUACAUAGUGCUUUUCUCUUUUUAAACUAAUAAUGUUAUUCUCUGAAAUCAGCUGCCUGGGAUCAUAAACAUUGCACUGAGUGAGUGGUAUCUCUUCCUCCCAAUGUGCAGCUACGUGUGUCCGUCUUCCCCUCCAGGAGCAAUCACUCCCUGCUCCUUUCUAGAGUUUAUUCAGCCAGCAGUUAGCGCACUGCCCAGUAUCUCUACAAAGCAGUAGGGUUACUAAAAUGUAAACCCACCACACAAGCAUGGCAUCAUGGGUAUAAUGAGAACAAAUGUAAAAUCCUGUCAGUCUCUGCCUGUCACCCUGAAUGGUCGUACAGAGGGCAGGAAGGGGUGUGUGCAUUGCAGCGAUGGCCACUCUAAACGGCCUGCUCCUGCAGACUGCUAUUUCCAUUAGUUCGAAGAACAGACUGUCAUGGUUGCAGUUAAAGUCAUUUCCCAAUGUUUUGCACUUUUUGACCAGCAUGAUAAGGGGCCUUCCGCCUGCACCCUCCAUGCUGAUUCCUAGCAGUGACUUGCUAAAUCUGCCUCUCUACAAUGCAGUCACCAUGGGGCAGCCACUAUAGGACUAGUAUGGGAGCAAGGUACACAUUGAAAACCCGAGCCCGAGCUAAGUAGUUAAUCCAUGUUAGUAUACUUUGACAACUUACCUGGGUCCUGACGUUUGCCUGUGGCGGUCUUGUCUCUUUUUUGUCUGUUUCUCACAAUCAGUCUGCUAUACACUGUAGCUUUCGCUCACAAGCUGUCUGUAUGGUAUCUGGGGAAAGGUAAUGGCUGGGGGAGCAAUACAAUUUAAGUUGUGGCUUGUGGUGUGAAUUAAAUGGAGACGAAAGGCACCUAGACUACUUCAUUGAGACAGGUGUGGUUGCCUUUAGCGUUCCUUUAAUUCUUACCGAAUGGCAAUGUUUACAUUGCAGGUUUCACACACCUCUAGUGAAUGUCUUCCUGGUGCCACCAAAGGCACUUCCUGUGCUGUAACCAAGUUAAACUCGGUUAUAGAUCAUAGAGCAGCAUUUGAUUAGGGCAGCAUGACACUUUCUUCUAUGGGUAAGCAUUGGAUUGGCUGAGAUCGUCAAUUUUUAUGAUCUCAGAAAAAGAGGCAGAGCUGCAACAAGGAGAGCAGUAAGUAAUACUCACCUUUCAAGCACAAGCAGUAAGUAAUACUCACCUUUCAAGUGGGAUCACCUACAUAGCUAGUAAGAAAUAAUAGUGUUAGGAAUACAUGUUUGGUUAUCAAUGAGAGAGCUAGCUUAAAUAAGAAUUUUCCAAUGAGGAAUGUUUAGAUUUAUUAUGUUGUAACCAGUGGUGGGAGAACACCAUGUACACACACCUCCCAAGUGUCCCUAUUUAGAAGGGACAGUCCCUAUUUUGGGCUCAUAGCUCUCUGCCCCUCUUUUCUAUCUCAAUGUCCUUCUUUUUAGGAGCUCCAUAUUGCUGGUGUGUAUACAUGUAUAACAGAGCUCCACAGCAAUACUACUCCCAGUAAUGUGUCUUUAAACUACAAUAAAUGUGUUUAGAAAUCAGUCUGUGUAAAUAAGAUACAUUGUUACUGAUCUAAAGUAUAUAAAUUGUUAUUAGUAAGUCAACUAAAAUUUCUCAGAACAGCUCUGCCCCUGGCCACACACGCUAAAAUGUAAGUGUUCCACUUUGUCCAUCUGUUAUGUUGCGAGGUGUGUGGACAUGGGUCUGAAGGUUAUGACAAUCAGGGGUGGGGGCACACCGUUUUGUCCUUGGACCCAAACAGCACCAUUUCUAGGGCCAACCCUCAUCCAGUGUUGCAACUGCUUCAGCUACAAAAUAAAAAAAAAGGAGCAGGUAGGGCUCGGGAGGGUAGCUCCCACUAAGCUCUGGCAAUUUGAGAUUUUAAAGGCAGAUAUGUCAUAUUUUUUAUCUAUCUAUAUAUAUAUACAUGUAAUACAAUUUAUCAGACAUAAUGAAUGGUUUAAUUGUUACCAGUAUAUGUUUAUUAUUUUAAUAUGCUUUUAUGGAAAAUAUAUUUUAUUUAGUUAGUUUUAGCUGUUUGUAUAUAGUUUUAUUUGUCUCAUUUUUUUCCCUUUUAAUGCAGAUAGCAGUCCUAUACCUAUUAAUAGCUUAGAUUACAUUUUUCAAUUAAACCCUUUAAUUAACUCUUCCUGUACCAUGUUAUCAUUUUUUUUUUUAAAAAGCUUAUAUUUACUUGCUGAAAAUUGAAUAGUUGAAUACAGACUGAAGUUUUGUUUGAAUGGAGAAAUGUUUCAGAGUAUUAGCAUACAGUGUCCGAUCAAUGUGUUAUUUCAGAAAAAUGGGAAAGUCAGGUACGUCCAACAAAAAAACGUUUGUUAACUACCUCGGACGUACCUGGUACAUCCGCGGCAAAUGUGAGCGCUGGAAGCGAUCGUUAUCGCUUCAAGAUGCUCUAACGGUAUUGCAGCGAUGCCUCGAUGUCGUGGCAUCCUGCAAUACCUCUCCUGACUGCCCGGCCAUUGGGUGAUCGCUCCUCAGGAGCGAUAACUUCCGUGUUGCCCCAAGUGGCGCCCGGUUGUGUAACAGAUCAUCGGAAGCCAAUCGGGCAGGCUUCCAAUGCUCUGCCUGUGUGCUGAGUUCCUCAAGGGGUCGGGGCACUCCGUGAAGAUUAAAUAAUAACUAAAAAAAAAAAUAAACUAAUAAAAAUUCCUAUUCGUUCCCCCGAGGGUGUUCGGUGUUCCUCUCCGUCAGGGGGGGGACUGUCUGACAGUCUUCCCUCUGCAUAUUAGGCCGCCGUUGGCCACAUGAUUGCUCUGAAAGAGCGGUCGCAUGGCCACAAUAGGCGUCCAUAGUGUAGGCAGUCUCCCUGCUGCUGUAAAAUAAAAAAAAGUUUUAAAAUAAAAAAUAAAUGUUAAUAAAUAAUAAAAAAAAAAAUAUAUGUGUAUAUAUAUGGGAUAUAUAUACAUAUAUUAUAUCCAUAUAUAAUAUGUAUAUAUAUAUAUAUCUUAUAUAUAACAUCAAACUAAGUGUAUUAUUUUAUUACUAUAUACAUAUAUUAAUAUAAAAAUACACUUAGAGUAAAAUUACACACGUAUAUAUAUAUAAUAUAUAUAAACUAUAUAUAUUGUGUAUAUAUAUAUAUAUAUAUAUAUAUAUAUAUAUAUAUAUUAUAAAAAUAAAUAAUAAUUAAUUAAAAAUGAAUUAAAAAUGUAAAAAUAAUAAAAAAAUAAUAUUUCAUAUAUAUAUAUAUAUGUAAUUGUAUUCUAACUGUAUUUUGAUAUUAAUAUAUAUAUAUAUAUAUAUAUAUAUAUAUAUAUAUAUCUCAAAAUACAUAUAUCUUUGUAUAUAUCAAUAAAUAAGUAAAAAUAAUACGAACUAUACAUAAUUCCAUAAAUAAUUUCAUAAAGAUACACGUAGACUUCAAAUAUAUAAAUAUGUAUAUAUAUUUAAAUUCUAUGUGCAUAUUUAUGUAAUAUUUUAAAAAUUUAAAAUUAAGUAAUUUUAUUGAUAUUGGAACCUGCCUGACAACCCAGGCCGAAAAUCCAGAGAAUUUAAUUUGCUAGCACUAUAUUUAACCCUGUAACUUUCCAAGACACCCUAAAACCUGUACAUAGGGGUACUGUUUGACUCGGUAGACUACGCCGAACACAAAUUUUAGUGUUUCAAAACAGUAAAACAUAUGACAGCAAUGAUAUUGUCAGUAAAAGUUAAUUUUUUUGCAUUUUUCACACUUUCACUGAUGAUAUAAUUGUUGUGAUACCUUUUACUGUUUUGUAAACACUAAUAUUUGUGUUCAGCGAGGUCUCCCGAGUUUUACAGUACUCCUCAUGUACAGGUUUUAAAGUGUUUUUGAAAGUUAUGGUGUCAAAUACAAGGCUUGCUUUUCCAUUUUUUUCACACUGAAAUUUGCCAGGUUGAUUAUGUUGCCUUUGAGAGCUUAUGGUAGCCCAGGAAUAAUUACCUCCAUGAUGGCAUACCAUUUUGCAAAAGAUGACAACCCAAGGUUUUGUAAAUGGGGAAUGUUCAGUCUUUUUUAGUAGCCACUUAGUCACAAACACUAGCCAAAGUGGCCUUCAUAAUAGUUUUUUGCAUUUUUAACACACAAACAAAUAUAAACGCUAACUUUGGUCAGUGUUUGUGACUAAGUGGUUACUAAAAAAGACUGGACAUCCCCAAUAUUGAAUACUCUGGGUUGUCUACUUUAAAAAAAUAUGUACAUGAGAGGUGUGAUUCAGAGAUUUAUGACAGAUAGCAGUAUUACAAUAUCAUUGAAACAGUAAUGUCCUACUUGUACUUAUAGCCUAAUAACUUGUAAAAGAAAAGCUAAGAACAUGUUAACAUUGGGUAUUUGUAAAAACAGGACAAAAUAUAGAUCUAUUUAGUAUGGUUUUUUUUUGGGGUGGGUUGUAGAUGCGUAACAGAUUUUGGGGGUCAAAUUUGAAAAAGUGUGUUUUUUUUAAAUGUUUUCAUCUUUUUUUAUAAAUAUUUUGUAGUAAAUUAUAUGAUAUGAUGAAAAUAAUGGUAUUUUUAGAAAGACCAUUUAAUGGCGAGAAAAACGGUAUAUGAUAUGUGUGGGUACACUAAAUGAGUAAGAGGGAAAUUACAGCUAAACACAAACAGCGCAGAAAUGUAAAAACAGCCCUGGUCCUUAACGGCAAGAAAAUUGAAAAACGGUCAGGUCACUAAGGGGUUAAAACAAAACAGCAAAAAUCAUUACUAUUCCUUAUUGAAUUAAAAGUUUGAAAUGUUUAAUUAUAUCACCUAAAAAAAUAAAAUUUCUUAGCAAGAAAACAGAGGGCUAUAUUGCAGAUAUAAUGUUCAUCUGCUCCACAAAACAGCAAUAACGCAAUUUUUUUUUAUUUUUUUAAAUGUAGAUUUUUAGGAGGGGGGAAGAGAGCCUUGUUUUUAAGAAGCACUCCAAACAACGUAACCAGCAUUUGGCUAGUGGUGAUCUUAUUUAUGGUAUUGGCCAAUGUUUACCCAAAUGAGGGUAUUAACUAGUGCUUAUUUCAUUAACAGUACUGGCAAGUACGGAUCCUUUUUACUGUAUUGGCCAGUGUUGAUAUAAUUCACAGCGGGGUUUGAAAUUUCCACUUGCCGCUAGCCACUGGCUAGUGAAAAUGUAGUCCUGGCUAUUAGACAUUGACUCUUGCUGAAUGUUCCAUAGACCUUUUAAAACCAGGCCAGUUGAGAAAGACUUAAAAUUUUAAGCUUAGAUUUCCGGUAUUGGCAAGUUUUGGUUAUCUUCAGGGUAUUGACCAAAUGUGUAUCCAAUUUAAGGUAUUGGCUUGUGAUAAUUCAUUAUGGGUACUGGCAAGUACACAUCCAAUUUAUGGCAUUGGCCAGUGUUGAUCCCACUUAGGGUACUGACUAAUGAUUAUUUCAAUAAUGGUACUGGCCAGUGUUGAUCCCACUUAGGGUACUGACUAAUGAUUAUUUCAAUAAUGGUACUGGCCAGUGUUGAUCCCACUUAGGGUACUGACUAAUGAUUAUUUCAAUAAUGGUACUGGCCAGUGUUGAUCCCACUUAGGGUGCUGACUAAUGAUUAUUUCAAUAAUGGUACUGGCCAGUGUUGAUCCCACUUAGGGUACUGACUAAUGAUUAUUUCAAUAAUGGUACUGGCCAGUGUUGAUCCCACUUAGGGUACUGACUAAUGAUUAUUUAAAUAAUGGUACUGGCCAGUGUUGAUCCCACUUAGGGUGCUGACUAAUGAUUAUUUAAAUAAUGGUACUGGCCAGUGUUGAUCCCACUUAGGGUGCUGACUAAUGAUUAUUUCAAUAAUGGUACUGGCCAGUGUUGAUCCCACUUAGGGUGCUGACUAAUGAUUAUUUCAAUAAUGGUACUGGCCAGUGUUGAUCCCACUUAGGGUACUGACUAAUGAUUAUUUAAAUAAUGGUACUGGCCAGUGUUGAUCCCACUUAGGGUACUGACUAAUGAUUAUUUAAAUAAUGGUACUGGCCAGUGUUGAAUUUGGAGUUAUUGAUCAGUACUUAUGAUGUAAAAUGUAGAUGUUGAUGGCCCCAUUGUAAUACACACUGAUGGGAGUAUUCAAGGUUAGUGAUUUGAGUAACACACGCAAGGAUGGCUUGUUCUGUGUUAGGGAUUAUGAGGAUAAUAUAUAUAUAUAUAUCUGCUGGUGUAACGAGAACUCCUGGAAAAUAAUAGUAAAAUACUAGCAAUGCUAAUGGCUAUGCUGCGUUAUUCAAUAAAUUUGUGAUAUUUCAUGUAUGAACGACACACCCAGAGAGGGAAAAUAAAAAUACUCUGUCUCUCCAUCUCUCCCUAUCAGAUACACUCCCUCUCUUUCUCUCCCUCUUACUCUCUCUCAAUCCAUCAGUCUGUCUCAUUCUCUACUUCAAUAUAUAUAAAUCUGAUUGUCAUCAUUCUCACACACAUAAAUACAAAGACAGUCCUAGACAAUCCGGUGCAUAGAGCUAGUAUAUCACAAUAUUUUUGUGUGCACAUAAAUAAUAAUAGCAAUUUUAUAUUAUAUAUAUAUAUAUAUAUAUCUUCACUGUUUCUCUCCAAUGCAUUUGAUCAUCUCAUCAAGUCCCAUGGCUUAACCAAUCUCUUUUCAUGCUCAGGAUAAAAAGAGAAGAACUUCAAAGCAGGUUCAGGUAAUUAAGAGCUGAGGGGAAUAUAAUUUAAACCACAGGCCUUGCUUUGCACCCAGGUCUGCGUUCAGAGCCAGCCGGCAAGGGAGGGACUAUUCCCUGCUGUAUCCAAAUCUGCUUCCUCUGAACAGCUCUGCCAGGCCUCCAGUUAUCACAUCUGCAUUUCAAACAGCGUGUCUCUGGCAUUAAUUAUUAAUUAGCCUACAGUCACCCCAGAGGAUUUAAGUUCCAGCCUGCACAUACUUAUUCAUUGACCUCUAUCUUAGUUUUUUGUUGGAAAAAAACCUCUCUAGAAUGUCUAAUAAUUUCCUUUCUCUCUGAAUUCUCACUUAGAAUUUUGCAAGUGAUGUGCAGUGCAGCCGGAGUCACAGAGCCUAGAAAGAGGCGUCCAAUAACCUUCCCUAAAAAAAUCAAUUUCAGUUGCGCAACCAUGUCCUGCCAGUCAAUAAAUUGUUCGACUCUGUGGUUCCAUCCCAAUAACAUUAGUGUUACUGUUGCCUAAUCAACUCUGGAUAAGGCUUCAAAGUGUUAAUCCUUACAUAGGAAUCAAGGUAUCAAUCCCUGUGUUUAGAUGAACGACUUGCUAGGUUUUUACCCCAUUUUACAGUGAACAGAUUCACACAGCACUCCAGAAUAUGUUGGUGCCUUAUAAAUAAUUUUAAAUAAUAAUAAUACUUAUGCAUUACAACAUCAUUUAAAUUAAAUAUGCCCUUUAAUCGACUCUGUAUCGAUGCUGUAAAUUAUAAAAUGUAAAAACACCUGGACAAAAAAAAUUAUGUUUACUAUUGAUAACACCAAACCUAGUCAUGUGACAGAAAGAGAGGACAAUAAAAAGUUUAAAAAAACAAAAAAAAAUACCAAACUAAAAACAAAAACCAAAAAACUUAAAUGCAACUAGAGAAAUAUGUGUAAAAUCAGAGUGAUUGCAAAAUGAAGAGAUUUUAACUCCGAAAGACAUCUGAUUGGCUGGGCUGUUCCAGUUUUUUGUUUGUUUUUAUUGAAGACUGUUGAUGGGCAUUGUUUGACAUUGUUUGAUGUGGUCAUUUCAUUCUUUAAACUCCCGGGAUAUUAGUAAUUAGGAGCUGGCACCAAUUAGUGUAAUAGUAACUGGACUUUCCUCUGGUUAUUUUUAGGGCGUGCUUUACUGUACAAGAAGAACUGGACCUCCCACUGGUACCUAGGGGGCAUGUUUAAUAUUAUUAAAGACCAGGCAUCUCUCGAGUAAUGGGAGUACUGGGAUUAAUACUACUUAGUACCUGACAUUUAGUACAAGACAUUUUGCUGCCUAACAUCUCUCUUCCUUCUAAUCAGCCAGUCAAACGUACAUAAUUGCCCACACACAUACAUACGUGUAUAUAAUAUAAUAAGGCACACACGUAAAACUAACCAUCACAUUCACAUACUUAGUAACACAUUUAAACACCUACACAUCAACACAUAGUCACAAAUACACACACACACAAUACAUCCCUCUGGUUGUGUCAUUAGGAUGGCACUGGCAUCGCUAUGGACCAAGAGACUGAGAACUCCCUAAAAACACCCAUCUCAUAGGGACCCGGGGGUGGGGGUAGAUAUAUCCUCCUGACACCUUUACUGAUAAUUCUUAAGCUAUGCACUGGGCUUCGUUAUUAGAAGAUGUGGAAGAUGAGGAGGCAGGUUCAUGGCUGUAUCAUGGUUUGGAGGGUGUCUCAUGUCCCCCUUAUUUGUUAAUAUUUAUUUAUGUAUUCAUUCAUAUCUAUUUAGUUUAACUAUUUAAUUGCUGACAGUUUAAUGUAAUCUGCUUUUUGGUGCUUUUCCUCAAGGAACAAAACUUCAUAGUCAGUCAGCUCAAGGAGAGAUUUAAUAGUCAGUUCAAGACAAUUUCAUAUGGUCCUUAUACCUCCCUACUAUUGGUGCUUUGAGAGUAGCAUGAGUAUGAGAUAGACUUCAAAUAUCCAUCUUGCGCUAUGCUCACAUAGCUUUAGUCAGGCGACUUUGAUAGACUGAAUUGGAGAGACCAUUUUAAUAAACUGAAUUGGAAAGACCUUUUUAAUAAACUGAAUUAAAGAGACCGUUUUAAUCAACUGAAUUGGAGAGACCAUUUUAAUAAACUGAAUUGGAGAGAACAUUUUGAUAGACUGAAUUGGAGAGACCAUUUUAAUAAACUGAAUUACAGAGACCAUUUUAAUAAACUGAAUUGGAGAGAACAUUUUAAUAAACUGAAUUACAGACACCCUUUUAAUAAACUGAAUUGGAGAGAACAUUUUGAUAGACUGAAUUGAAGAGAACAUUUUAAUAAACUGAAUUGGAGAGACCAUUUUUAAUAAACUGAAUUGGAGAGACCAUUUUUAAUAAACUGAAUUGGACAGACCAUUUUAAUAAACUGAAUUACAGACACCCUUUUAAUAAACUGAAUUAGUGAGACCAUUUUAAUAAACUGAAUUGGAUAGACAAUUUUAAUAAACUGAAUUGGGGAGACCAUUUUAAUAAACUGAAUCAGAGAGACCAUUUUGAAUUAAAUAGUAAUUGGUUUGUGGUCAGGCAAAAUGCUGUACCCGUAUGAGUUAGUUGGAUGUUUUUAACGCAAAAUCAACUGAAACUGUCUCGAUUAUGUUAAUUAAUUCAGCAAAAACAUUGUUAGUGAACACCGCCAGCGUGUACAAUUUUCUCCAAGUCACUUAUUACACACAAUUAGACAUUGCACGUCCGUGGAUAGACCUUUCUGUUUUGGUUUGGUCUUUUUGUUUUGGUCUUUGCUGUUUGUCUAGCUCAGCAAAUCUCAAAUCUUACUGAAAAUUUGAGGGUCAUGUUUUAUUUUAAAAAGGAAAUCUGUAACCCUAAUUUUUUUUCUAAGAACAAUAUGGAAAUAUAUGUCAACAUAUUUAUGUCCUGUCUGUGCUGUGGUAUUUCGAGGUGUACUUUUGCUUAAUCCGAAUGACUGUUUACUGUAAAUCUAUAUGUUUUCUUUGGUUACUUGCAGGCUACGUUGAUGUCAUCAGUUAUGGUGGGAUUAGCAUGAUGGACCAUAAAGCAGAGAGAAAAUACCAAGUUAAGAGAAGAGGGACUACGACCAUACUCUUUAUGUUAAAAAUUGUUGCCCACCCUUACCCCCCUUAAAAGCAUGAAAAACUCACCUUAUUUCAAGCGUUGUGUGGGUCCGCCGGCACUGGGCCCUCCUCCUUGGUGACAUAAUCAGAAUUGCCGGUUUUUAGCCAAUCCAAUGCUUUGCCAAGAGGGCGGGACCAAACACCGUUUUGGCCAAUCAGAAUCAAUGCAUCUCUAUGAGGAAAAUUCAGGAUCCCCAUGCAGAGCGUGGGGACACUGAACGGCAGAGCUACCUACUGUGCAGCACUGAGUCAGGAAGCACCUCCAGAGGCAAUGUAAACACUGCCUUUUCUCUGAAAAUGAAAAUGCCUGAAGGUAAUGAUUAAACUCACCAGAACAACUACAUUAAGCUGUAGUUGUUCUGGUGACUAUAGUGUCCCUUUAAUAAGUAAAAAUCAUGCUAUUUCCAAUUUAUGAAAACAGAAAGCCAUGGACAACAUAAUUACAAAUGUAUUUUGCAUUUUGUCCAGACCGCUAUUUUAAAAAAAACAAUAGCUUUUUGUUAGUCAGGGAUGGAGGCAGGAACAUUAUGAUAACACCUUUUUAAAAUGGAUUAUCCAGAAAGUGGCCCUAGGUGGUUUCCUAGGGCCCAGAGGUUAGACAGUGUCCCUAGUACCAUGAAUUUGGUUGGCUUUAUUAACCAUCUGUAUGUGAAAACUUAUGGGGGGGGGGGGGCACAAACUGGUAGCUGUCCGAUGGCUGUUAAUCCUUCUCUGAUUUAUAUCCAGAGGUAUCUGCUUCUGUGUGCGCACAAAGUACUUCUUUAAGUGCCAGUUCGAAACUGUCUUGUUUUUCUUAUUAUGCAGUGCGUGGAAUGUUCAACACUUAAUAGCUGAAUAGUUAAAGAGUCCCUCAAUAAUAGGUAACAUAUUACUUUUACAAUAUAGUUGUGGUCUGGAGGGCUAGCAGUGCAAGACUGAAAAAGUACAAAGGUCAUCCAGUCUUUCUUCCCAGAGUGACAGAAAAUGUCAUUUUCAAAUGUUUUCUUUCAUUAUUUGACCCCAAAUCCUCCACUAGCAGCAAUUGUAACUCUGUAGAAGGUUAUAUAAGGUUUAGAACUGUGAAGAGAGCACAGCAUUGAGAGAACAGCUAAAACCAGAUAGGAGCUGUUUCCCUUUAUGUUGGUAACUGUAAGGACAGGCUGGGCCUGGAUAACUUAAAUUAAAAUUACAAAAACAAAGAAUUUAAAAGGUGAAUUUUCAGCGACAGCUUCUUAGCACCAUAACCACUACAUCAACCUUUAGUGGUUAUGGACUUGGUAGGUCUACAUUUCCCAGUUCUAUAAUAUUUAUGUGGUCUUUUAUUGUUAAUGCAGAGUUUGUAUUAUGCAUUAUUUUGUUUUAGUUAUUUUUCGGCUAACAUUCAGACUGUCUCUUUGUGUAUGUCCCAGAAUGAGUGUUGUAUAGGCCUCAGUGUCCUCUUAGUGUCUAUACCAGGCUUCCCCAAACUCCGACCCUCCAGAUGUUGCUGAACUACAACUCCCAUGAUUCUAUAAAUGAAAUAGAUAGGCUGAGAAUCAUGGGAGUUGUAGUUCAGCAACAUCUGGAGGGCCAGAGUUUAGGGAAGCCUGGUCUAUACCAACCAGUGACUGGCAAUGCGGGCAUCUUUAAACCAAUGGUCAACUAUACCGAAGUGGAGGACACCUUAUUUUUCAGGCAAGGUCCCUCAUAGCCAUUCCAGGCAUUCUGUCCUGAUCUUCUUCCAUCAGACAGCCAUAGUAAUUAUUGUAGCAUUACUUGAAGUGGUUUUCACCAUUGAUGUCACCCUUGCAGCCUUUCAAAAUGGAAACAGUGCCAUGGCUAAGAAAUUGCACUGCUCCCACUUUGUAGUUGGCACGUCUACUAGUGACUGAGUCAGCAGCUAUGUUAGAUGCACACCAGUUGGACCAGGUUAAAUCCAGGUAAAGAAUUGAGUGAAAUGGUAAUAAAAUAACAAGACUGAUGAUAAAGAGUUUGCUUUAUUCCACUUGUGUUCACAGUAAUAUUGUCUAGUAUUAGCAGUCCAGUCAUGUGUUCCUCCUUCCUAUGCUCUUAGCCGUGCGUUAAUAUUGUCUGAACAACAUUCAAAUAAAGCUUGUUUGUUCCCAAAACUGAUUAAAAGACUGUUGGCCAUUUGUGUCUAAAUAACCAUGUCCAUUUACAUUUUGUCUGUAUUUGUAUCUACAGGAGAAAUAUAAAGUAAAACAAUCUAUAGAACUCUAUAACUAUAAAGCUAUAUACUGAAGUGAUUUUGAGCUGAAUCUUAUCUUACAUUAUGUGUUUAUACAUUCAUCUAUUUCUCAUGAUCUAAAUGCUAUUUUAAUGGGCAUGUUGUGUGUUCAAAUUCAAUACUGCUCUGUGAGACGUCACACUGUGCAAUAUGAGCUAACUGUAGUAGCCAUUUGCUCUCUUUUUGUACUGAGGCCUCCGUGCAAUAUUGAGACAAACAUGCCUUAGGUUUCCUGAGUUCCAUUUUAAAUUGGCAGAUGUAUUUUGUGACUGGGAAGGGUUGGGAAGAGAGUCAGACAUGGUUUGUGUUUCCCCCCUCCUUUUUACCCUGCAUUUAGGAGAAGGAGACAGUAGUAACCAGUGCUAAGGUUAGAGUGCUAAAGGACAGGUUAUACAGUGUUCAACAUGUUACAAAUCAAUGACUGCGCAAACAGUCUUUAAAGGUUUCAUGAAUUAUGGUUUCAUUGGGUUGGUAAGUAAGGCAAAUCAUUUUUAGGCAUUUUGUACUUUUAUGGAAAUACCUGAGUAAUUACUGUUAUGAAAAUGUAGUUAAUUAUAAAUUAUGUAGCAAAAUGAAUGAUCAUCACUUACUAAUCAUAUAUUGUAUAUUAUUGUAGAUGUCGACUGACACAUACCACGAGAGAAACACAACGACCACUGACUACCUCGAGUCUCUUCCAAGAUGAAUGGCUCUAAGUCACACUGUGUCAUCCUGCUGACAGUCUAAAUGCAAAUUGAAAGUGAAAUCUUGUAUUACGAAUCGUGAUACAUUUAGUAAGCUCUAAUUUAGCGCCAAGCCCACGACCUGGUACGUCAUGACCCUUAGUAACUUUCUAGCAAGGAGAAAAUGUGGCAAAGAUCAGAAUUUGGUGACAUUAGGGAAAGUUUGCUUUUAAAAAAAAAGUGGUUCUUUUAGUCAAGUGAUUUUCUAAUUUUUUUUUUUUUCAUACGUGCCUUGUUGUGCCUUUGUGGAUAAUCCCACAUCAUUAUUCACUUAGCUGUCUGAGCUUCUCUCACUCCUCCUUCUGAGACUGCAAGGGCACCUCAGCGUACGAAAAUGGGUGGCAUAAAUUAACGGGGGAGGAAAAAUCAUGCAAAUCCGGCAAAGAUGGAUCGUUACUUUGAGUUGGUGAGGAUUUGGGAAGGUGACAGAUCUGCUUUAAUAUGGAAAAAUAUUCCUAUAUCUCCAUAUGGCUUACUAAAAUAGCACCAGAUUGAGCUAUCAAUGUGGAGGACUGUUUGUUAUACAAUUUGCAAACAGGAGAAAUGAGAAAUCUUUCCAGGGCGUGCUAUGAUAUAUAUCCAAUAUAAAUCUGUGAAUUAUGUAGAAGGUAGACUAUAUAUUUAAAAAAUAUAUAUUUAUUAUACUCUUCCAUUUAAAGUAACAAAAUGCAUUCAUUUGUAACCUAGAUAUGUGUAAAUCUUAAAAGUUUAAAUAAAUCAUCGAAAAAUAGAGAAAACUGGAAUAUUAUGCAAUAUGUACGUUGAUU
rnacentral:lncRNA from 1 species